rnacentral:rRNA from 1 species
GACGAACCGUGCGAACGUUGUUCGGAAUCACUGGGCUUAAAGGGCGCGUAGGCGGGCAUUCAAGUCGGUGGUGAAAUCCUCCAGCUUAACUGGAGAAGAGCUGUCGAUACUGGAUGUCUCGAGGGGUGCAGGGGUCUGCGGAACUUCGGGUGGAGCGGUGAAAUUCGUAGAUAUUCGCAAGAACACCAGUGGCGAAGGCGGCUUACUGGACCGGUUCUGACGCUGAGGCGCGAAAGCGUGGGGAGCAAACAGG